rnacentral:tRNA from 1 species
CCAUGUUUAGCUCAGUUGGUAGAGCGCUCCACUGAAAAUGGAGGUGUCCUACGUUGGAUACCCAAACCUGGC